CGCGACCCCAGGUCAGUCGGGACUACCCGCUGAGUUUAAGCAUAUAAAUAA
rnacentral:rRNA from 2 species